CUCUUCUCUGCUGAGAUGUCUUUGAUGUUCUAGCCCAGAAACACAGUCUUCAGUCUUUGAUGGAAAGGCCCCCACCCAGACAGGCUUCUGUUGGGCGCAGAACACCAGUGAGCAAGACACGACUAGACCUACCUAAAUUUCAGGCAUCUUCAGAACUUUCCUACACACCGGAGCUGCCAGUUUGGGAAACAGAAAAAACACUCUUGCACUGUGAUGAAAGAAUUUCUUUCUCUCAAACAACAGACUGUCUCUGGCUCUAGAAAAAUGUGACAUAUCUUCUAGCCACAAGGAUAGCUGACCUGAGGGUAAGUCUGGCAAAUACCCAAGGGGAAGGGAGAAGGAUCCUGCAUCCCUGACCAUCUCCGUGAGCUAGAGAAUGCAGUAAUGCCAAACCCACUUCCCUGACAAUGGCCAACUCUGGGAGGUCCAGGUCACCCAGAUGCCUCACAGACAUCCUCCUCAUCCCCCAUCAUCAGGAGCCAACCAGGUGGCAGCAGAAUCAGUGACCUUCCUUCCUUCCUUCCUAGUCAUGUCAUCUUCCUUGCUACCUUGAUUGCUUGAGUCAAGUUGUUCAAUUCAACUUGCCUUUUCAGUGAGGCUGCCCUGAUCUCUGUCUUGCCUUCUGCCUAAUGGCAGGGACUAUUUAAUUCCAUGGAUCUGAGUGGAGCAGGACAAGGUGCCCAGCUGAGAACCACUAUCCUCAUAGCAUAUUUUAAAACCCUGAAGCUGAGAGCUUUCAUUUGCCCCAUUUCUAUUUCAAAGCUUUCCCCUUCCUGCAGCUAAAACACACCAUGAUUCUUCAAAAGAUGCCU